CCUAGUGAUGAUGGCGAGGUGGGUACACCCGUUCCCAUUCCGAACACGGAAGUUAAGCACCUCAGCGCCGACGGUAGUACAUUUGUGCAAGAAUAGGACAUCGCUAGGU
rnacentral:rRNA from 1 species